GUCCAGGGGCCUUCGGGCACCGGCAAACUGCUCAGUAACACGUUGAUAAUCUGCCCUUCUGUCUGGGAUAACCUCGGGAAACUGAGGCUAACACCGGAUAAGAAACCCGUUCUGGAAAGAAGUGUUUCUCAAAGGCAACGCAGAAGGAUGAGUCAGCGGCCGAUUAGGUUGUUGGUGGGGUAAAGGCCCACCAAGCCGACGAUCGAUAGGGGCCUUGAAAGAGGGAGCCCCGAGAAGGGAACUGAGAUACAGUCCCUAGCCCUACGGGGUGCAGCAGGCGCGAAACCUCUACAAUGCACGAAAGUGUGAUAGGGGGAUCCUGAGUGCUCAGCUUUGCUGGGCUUUUUGCCAAGAGUAAAAAUCUUGGCGAAUAAGUGGUGGGUAAGACGGGUGCCAGCCGCCGCGGUAACACCCGCGCCACAAGUGGCAAUCGUUGUUAUUGGGCCUAAAGCGCCCGUAGCAGGUCAAGUUAAUCUCUUGUGAAAUUGUUCCGCUCAACGGAACAGCGUGCAAGAGACACUGCUAGACUAGGGACCGGGAGGAGUCAGAGGUAUUUCAUGGGGAGCGGUAAAAUGCUAUAAUCCAUGAAGGACCACCUAUGGCGAAGGCAUCUGACCAGAACGGAUCCGACUGUGAGGGACGAAAGCUAGGGGAGCGAACCGGAUUAGAUACCCGAGUAGUCCUAGCUGUAAACGCUGCGAGCUAGGUGUUGCACAAUCUACGGGAUUGUGCAGUAUCGGAGCGAAGGUGUUAAGCUCGCCGCCUGGGAAGUACGGUCGCAAGGCUGAAACUUAAAGGAAUUGGCGGGGGAGCACUACAAGGGGUGCGGCGUGCGGUUUAAUCUAACUCCACUCAGAGAAUCUCACCAGAAGCGACGGCAGUAUGAAAGUCAGAUUGAAGGUUUUACUUGACGAGCCGAGAGGUGGUGCAUGGCCGCCGUCAGCUCGUGCCGUGAGGUGUCCAGCUAAGUCUGGUAACGAGCGAGACCUGUGUCCACAAUUGCUAACGGAUGCUUUUGCAUGACUGAGCACAUUGUGGGGACUGCCCUGGAAACAGGGAGGAAGGUGCAGGCUACGGUAGGUCUGUAUGCCCCGAAUCUUCUGGGCUACACGCGCGCAACAAUGGUAAGGACAAUGGGAUGCGACUCCGAAAGGAGAAGUUAAGCCUCGAAACCUUACCCAAGUCCAGAUUGAGGGUUGUAACCCACCCUCAUGACGAUGGAAUCCCUAGUAAUCGGACGUUAUCAGCGUCCGGUGAAUACGUCCCUGCUCCUUGCACACACCGCCCGUCAAACCACUCGAGCAGGGUUUAGAUGAGGCUUGGUUUCUUGAUCAUGUCGAAUCUAAGCUCAGUGAGAAGGGUUAAGUCGUCACAAGGUA
rnacentral:rRNA from 1 species